GCGAGAUCGUGACCUGGCUGAAGUCGGACGCUUAACCGACUGCGCCACCCAGGCGCCCCUAGUAACAGUCAUUCUUAACAGAAGAUCCUUGUCACAGUUGAUAAUCCUAUCUAGAUCCUUUUGUGUCCAGCUAAGGACCUCAAUUGUAUCUAGAACCUCCUGAGGGUCUUUGGCUGGUAGUCAUAAUUGUGGUUUCACACUGUUGUUGUUUUUAAAGGUGAAGGGGAUUAUACUGGGGAAAAAUGACUUUUCCUUCCUUUUCAAAAGCAGGGCAGUUGAUUUCUAUAAUGAGAACUUGUAAAUGCAUAGGUUUCUUUACAACCUUUAUAUUCAAAUUUUCUGCACAUUUAAGAGUAGAAAUGCAUAAUUUCCAUAUAUAUUUACUUUUGUACGGCAUACCUUACAAAACAUUUUUUUAAAGAUCAAAAGUCAAAGGAUACAAUAACAUGUCGAUCAGAUGGGUUUCGCUGUCGUGUUCUUUCUAACUGAGUUAACUGUUUAGCUUCUCGAUUCCUUGCUGUUAAUGUUGCUUUGAGGUCAUCCUGAAAAGAGGCAUUUAUGAUUAAUACAAAUCUCUGAUUUAAGAAGUAAUAUAUACACACUCUGUUUUAAGAAUGGGAAAACACUCCUUGUUUGGUCCAGGUAUCAUUACCACAGGAAUUAUUACUACUGCAGAAUCAGUGUGUGUGAGUGUGCCUAUGUAUGUGUGCAUUUCUUAAAUAUCCUCUAAAAAUAAUGAUACAGGCAAGACAAUUUUAAUACGAACCUAUAACCAUUAUAUAUAAUGUUAUAUAGAGAGAGAAUUUUGACUGUGGUAGUAGUUACAUGUGUAUACACAUUUGUCAAAACUCAAUGACCACUUAAAACAGAAUUUUACUGCCUGUAAAUUAUACCUCAAAGUUGAUUUAAAAAACAGAACUUGGGAUGUAACAUGCGGUAUGGAGACUAUAGUUAUUAACCCUGUAUUGCGUAUUUUAAAGUUGCUUAAGAGUACAUCUUAAAAAGCCUCAUCGCAAGAAAAAAAGAUUUCUAACUAUGUAUGAUGAUGGAUGUUAACUAGACUUUUGUGAUCAUUUCACAAUGUACACAGAUACUAAAUCACUGAAACUAAUAUGUCUCAAUAAAAAAAUAGAGCUUUGUCUUAGUCACUUUUAGUCUACCUGUUAUUGCCUACUUUAAAAUAAAAAAAUAUAAACUUAAUAUAAACUUAUAUUCAUUUAGUAAAAUAAGUUCUGUCCAUAUAUUCUUCAUGACUAUAAAUAUUAAAUAUUUUAAACUUUCUAUAAUAAUGUUUUAUGUUGCUAUAGUUUACUUAGUAAACUCACUAAAAAUAUCUCACUAUUCUCAAAGUUCUAAGAAAUGAUGCUUCAUAAAAUGUGUGAAAAGAACUGUGUAACUAUUAUGUUAUACUUUUUAUUAGGAGGACAAUUGUUGGAAAUCUCAUCCUCAUUGCCACAAUACCUAAUAAAUAGUAGGAAAAAAUGAA